GUAGGGUCAGCGACUGGGGUGAAGUCGUAACAAGGUAGCCGUAGGGGAACCUGCGGCUGGAUCACCUCCUUUCUAAGG
rnacentral:rRNA from 3 species